rnacentral:rRNA from 1 species
UAGUCCACGCCGUAAACUUUGGGUGCUCGUCGUAGCGGGUAUUGACCCCUGCUGUGACCAAGCUAACGCGAGAAGCACCCCGCCUGGGGAGUACGGCCGCAAGAUUAAAACUCAAACGAAUUGACGGGGGCCCGCACAAGCGGCGGAGCAUGUGGUUUAAUUCGAAGCAACGCGAAGAACCUUACCAGGUCUUGACAAUCCUAGAAACUUAGCAGAGAUGCUUUGGUGCCUUCGGGAAUCUAGUGACAGGUGCUGCAUGGUUGUCGUCAGCUCGUGUCGUGAGAUGUUGGGUUAAGUCCCGUAACGAGCGCAACCCUUGUCCUUAGUUGCCAGCACGUAAUGGUGGGAACUCUAAGGAGACUGCCGGUGACAAACCGGAGGAAGGUGGGGACGACGUCAAGUCAUCAUGGCCCUUACGACCUGGGCUACACACGUGCUACAAUGGACAGUACAAAGGGUUGCCAAGCCGCAAGGUGGAGCUAAUCUCAUAAAGCUGUUCGUAGUCCGGAUCGGAGUCUGCAAC